rnacentral:lncRNA from 1 species
GGCGGCGGCGGCGGGGGGAUCGCUUCAGCCCGGGGCGCCGGGUCUCUGCUUGCAGCGGCCCAGGGUCUUCCCAGUGGGGGAGUGGGGACCCCAAGGCUGGUGGACUCGCACACACCUGGCAGAAGGGAAAGCCUGGAGCGAAUCCACGUCCAAAUCCUAAUGCUACUCUGGUCAUCGUACCUUGAUUAUUAUUUGCAUCCUGCGUUGGAAGUAAUGCCCGAAUCUAGUGUGCUGUGUGCUUCGUGACACAGGGGGGAGAAAUGCAGCUAAGUAAGUUGACUGCAGGCCACACCUGGCAGAGAGGACCGUUGAGGAGGGAGACCCAGAUGCCAGCCCCGGGGCAGGCAACAGGGACAGAGAUGGAACCUGUGCCACAGCAUCAACCUGAGCUGCUGCAGUGACAAUACUGGAUCCUUAAUCGACUCUGCCAUGAGGUCACUCCUGAACUGUCCUUAUUAUUUCCUUUGCGUUCAUUCUCCUAUCCAACCCAACCUAAAAUAGGAUUAUCCUUGUUGCAAAAGGGGUAGUGUAUAUACACCCACAUAUAAAAGUAUGUGCUCUGCCAGUUAGAGAACAAGAAUGCCUAAAGCUACUGAGAAAGAAAGAGGAGCAGCCUCUGCAUUCAGAAGCUGGCUGGGGGCUCCUGGCUGAGCUUGUGACUCUGCCAGUGAUGUAGACAAUCUCCCAGAAUACCUGCUUCGGACGAGGCUGCCCUGAGACUCAUGACAAAAAUCCAGCCGAGCAAGACCACUGCAUGAUGUGGGGAAAACACAGACAAAAGCGAGUCACUGUGCCACCCACAAAAUACCGAAUACCCUCUCUUAGCUGAAAUGAGCAACCACUAAUUCUUUACCAAUUACAGCUUUACCCUCAUCCUAGCUUCUCCUCCCUGUAGAAGAGAUUCAUUGAGACACCCAUCGUGGAAUUGCCCCACUUUCUUUCUUUUUCUUUUUCUUUUUUCGUUUUUUAGGGCCGUACCCGUGGCAUAUGCAAGUUUCCAGGUUGGGGUGAGACUGGAGCUACAGCUGCCUGCCUACACCACAGCCACAGCAGCACCAGAUCCAAGCUGCAUCUGUGACCUACACCACAGCUCACUGCAAUGCCAGAUCCUUAACCCACUGAGCGAGGCCAGGGAUCGAACCCAUGUCCUCAUAGAUACUAGUUGGGUUAGAUCCCACUGAGCCACGACUUUUUUUUUGGUCUUGUGCUACUUUCUAACAGCACGGCACCCAGUCUCGAGUGGAUCUCUGCUUCCUUAGACCCUCCUUAAGUCACCCAGCCACAGCCCAGCCCUCCAAAGCUUCCUCCCAGCGCCCUCUUACUGGACACCCUGAUUUCUCAUGGCCUGUGUUCUCCCGCCUGCAACAAGUGACAAGGCCUCCUUGUUCAACUGCAGGGGUGUUGCCAGUGGUCUUGGGCUGAUCUUGGGCUUGACACUGUGUUUACACAUUUCUGUGUGUGUUUUGUGUGUAUACCAUUGUAAACACUAUAGACAUUUAUAGAAAAUCAAGGUAGUAAGAAAAUCCAGACAAUUCAAGCUCCAAAAUAAACUUCUGCAACUGAUCUACCUGUAUAGAAUACCAUGUUCAAGUGAAAACACUCAGAUAAUUACAUAUUUUGCUUCAUGACAGCCUAAGCAAUCACCACACACCAGAAAAUUUCAAUAAUUUUAUGUCCUAGUUAUUCUCUAGUUAUACUUUGCUUUUGUAUAUAUGCUUUUAAUAUUUUCUACAGUGUAGUUUUGAGAUGUAUUUUUAAAUUUUUUUGUCUUUUUGUCCUUUUAGGGCCACACCCGCAGCAUAUGGAGGUUCCCAGGCUAGGGGUCUAAUCGGAGCUGUAGCCACUGGCCCACGCCAGAGCCACAGCAACGCGGGAUCCGAGCUGUGUCUGUGACCUACACCACAGCUCACGACAGCGCUGGAUCCUUAACCUGAGCAAGGCCAGGGAUCGAACCUGCAACCUCAUGGUUCCAAGUCGGAUUCAUUUCCCCUGCGUCACGACAGGAACUCCGAGAUGUAUUUUUAAAGCUAUGAAUUACUUAACUUUAAUAGGUUGAGAAGAGCCAGAAUGUUGGCUAUUUUUCAUUUAAGUAUUAAAUUAUAAAACAGGAUACAAACAUAUAGAGUAUGAUUACAACUAAGAAGAUAAUAAAAAUUAAAAAUUGGUGACUACCAUC